rnacentral:rRNA from 1 species
GACAGAGGUACCGAGCGUUAGGCGGAAUCACUGGGCUUAAAGCGUGUGUAGGCGGGCGGGCAAGUACCUUGUGAAAUCCCACGGCUCAACCGUGGAACGGCUGGGUAUACUGCCUGUCUUGAGCCAACUAGGGGCGAGCGGAACAGACGGUGGAGCGGUGAAAUGCGUAGAUAUCAUUUGGAACGCCAAUGGUGAAAACAACUCGCUGGGGAAGUGCUGACGCUGAGACACGAAAGCCAGGGGAGCGAACGGG